rnacentral:rRNA from 1 species
GGACAACCUACCCUAAGGAGGGGGAUAACCCCGGAAAACUGGGGAUAAUACCCCAUAGACUACAGAUACUGGAAUGUUCUGUAAUCGAAAGGUCCGCCGCCUUAGGAUGGGUCUGCGGCUGAUUAGGUUGUUGUUGGGGUAACGGCCCAACAAGCCUGUAAUCAGUACGGGUUGUGGGAGCAAGAACCCGGAGAUGGAUUCUGAGACACGAAUCCAGGCCCUACGGGGCGCAGCAGGCGCGAAAACUUUACAAUGCGAGAAAUCGUGAUAAGGGAACCCCGAGUGCCCGUAAAUUCGGGCUGUUAAUCUGUUUAAAAAGCAGGUGGAGAAAGGGCCGGGCAAGACCGGUGCCAGCCGCCGCGGUAAUACCGGCGGCUCGGGUGGUGGCCACUAUUACUGGGCUUAAAGCGUCCGUAGCUGGAUUGUUAAGUCUCUUGGGAAAUCUACCGGCUUAACCGAUAGGCGUUCAAGGGAUACUGGCAAUCUAGGGACCGGAAGAGGUGAGAGGUACUCCAGGGGUAGGAGUGAAAUCCUGUAAUCCUUGGGGGACCACCUGUGGCGAAGGCGUCUCACCAGAACGGCUCCGACAGUGAGGGACGAAAGCUGGGGGAGCAAACCGGAUUAGAUACCCGGGUAGUCCCAGCUGUAAACGAUGUGCGUUAGGUGUAUCGGUGACCACGAGUCACCGAGGUGCCGAAGAGAAAUCGUGAAACGUACCGCCUGGGAAGUACGGUCGCAAGGCUGAAACU